ACAGCCACUUUUUUCCGAAACUAUAAGAACUAUACUGUUGAAACUUAGUAAUUAGAUGUAUUCUGUGAACCGCAUUAAGAUUUACAUACAAAAAUAGAAAAAAAAACAAAAAAUUUUGGGGGUACUUAGAACUGAAACUCAAAAAAUUUUUUUUCAUCAAACCCAUACGUGUGGGGUAUCUAUGGAUAGGUCUUCAAAAAUGAUAUUGAGGUUUCUAAUA